UGAGAUUCCUGCACCCGUAAUGAACAGAACUGUAGUGACACGGAAGGUAAGACAGAGCCGGGAAUGAGAAAACCGGUGCAAGCACAAUAGAUGUGCGGGAGGAAAAACCCUCGUAUAAGUCGAAGGUGUGAUGCGGACCGAAAAAGAGUAGGGAAGCUGUUAAGCAAGCCGUCAAGAAAAGCUGCUAUUGUUUCAUUAUGGCCCGUACCGUAAACCGACACAGGUGGAUGGGGAGAGAAUCCUAAGGCCGGCGGAAGAAGUAUUGUUAAGGAACUCGGCAAAAUGACCCCGUAACUUCGGGAGAAGGGGUGCCUGCGAGAGCAGGCCGCAGAGAAGAGGCCCAAGCAACUGUUCAGCAAAAACACAGGUCUAUGCAAAACCGAAAGGUGAGGUAUAUGGGCUGACGCCUGCCCGGUGCUGGAAGGUUAAGGGGAGUGGUCAGGAAACGAAGCCACGAACUUAAGCCCCAGUAAACGGCGGCCGUAACUAUAACGGUCCUAAGGUAGCGAAAUUCCUUGUCGGGUAAGUUCCGACCCGCACGAAAGGCGUAAUGAUUUGGGCGCUGUCUCGACAAUACAUCCGGUGAAAUUGAAGUGCCAGUGAAGAUGCUGGCUACCUGCGCCAGGACGGAAAGACCCCAUGGAGCUUUACUCCAGCCUGAUACUGGGACCCGGUAUUGCAUGUACAGGAUAGGUGGGAGGCUAGGAAAUGUGGACGCCAGUCUGCAUGGAGCCGCUGUUGGGAUACCACCCUUGUGGUGCUGGGUUUCUAACCAGAGGCCGUGAACCGGUCUGGGGACAAUGUCAGGUGGGGAGUUUGACUGGGGCGGUCGCCUCCGAAAGGGUAUCGGAGGCGCCCAAAGGUUCCCUCAGAAUGGUUGGAAACCAUUCGAAGAGUGCAAAGGCAGAAGGGAGCUUGACUGUGACACCGACGGGUGGAGCAGGUACGAAAGUAGGGCUUAGUGAUCCGGUGGAAUUUAAGUGGGAAUGCCAUCGCUCAACGGAUAAAAGCUACCCUGGGAUAACAGGCUGAUCACUCCCAAGAGUUCACAUCGACGGAGUGGUUUGGCACCUCGAUGUCGGCUCAUCGCAUCCUGGGGCUGAAGUCGGUCCCAAGGGUUGGGCUGUUCGCCCAUUAAAGCGGUACGCGAGCUGGGUUCAGAACGUCGUGAGACAGUUCGGUCCCUAUCCGGCGUGGGCGUAGGAUAUCUGAGAGGAGCUGUCCUUAGUACGAGAGGACCGGGAUGGACUGACCUCUGGUGUACCGGUUGGCGAUCAACGCCACGGCCGGGUAGCCAUGUCGGGACGGGAUAAACGCUGAAGGCAUCUAAGCGUGAAGCCCCCCUCAAGAUGAGAUAUCCCAUCGUAAGAGUAAGACCCCUUGAAGACGACGAGGUUGAUAGGGCAGGGGUGGAAGUGCUGUAAGGCAUGGAGCUGACUGCUACUAAUCGGUCGAGGGCUUGACCAA
rnacentral:rRNA from 1 species